AGAGAUCUCUCUCUCCCCCUCCUUUCCACUACCGCUCCGCUUCCACCGUUGCGCUGCCUCCGAACUCCACCGACAGCAACUCUUCAUCUUUUCUCCCUCCCAGAUCGAUCUCAGAUCUUCUCUCUCCUCCGAUCUUCACCGACAGCAACUCCUUCUGUCUCUCGAACUCGGCUUGCAAGAUAUGCAGGGAUAAGGAUGCUAAACCUCAGAAAUGGGAAUUUGUAGCACCAUUGAAAGGGAUGAACAACCUGAAGUUCAAGGGCCAGGAGUUUGGGUGUCAACUGAAAGAGGUGCAACGAAUAGUCCAAUUGAAAAUUCAGGUUUGCAUGUAUUUAGCUUCCUGGCCAAUUCAAUCCUUAAAGAGGUUCUCUCAGCAAUCCAAAAGGGAAAACCAGGGGUCUUUUCUCCUGGAAGACCUACAGCAUUCUUGAAAAAUUACAAAUCAAGCCUAGAUUUCUUGGGUCAUUUAGAAGGUAAAUUCUUUUAAUUUUUUAUUUGAACUCUUUUGGAUUUAAUUUUUCUCUUUUCAACAAAGGUGACUGCUGGAUUUUUAAGGUAGUUUAAAAACAAACUUCUGGUGUUUCUGAAUUUGCAUUUGCGAGUCGAAAGAGGCGUCUAGGAUCGGUGGUAACAGUGGUCGUUGCGUCAUUGUUUACUAACCUCAUUCUGUAUUAUCUGGAUAUCACCACCACCAUAGCCACCGUCAUCGUCUUUGCUUCGAACUCCCUCCGGUGGAUGAAGACUUACAUUGAACGGUGUCGUCUUUCAAUCGCAAUCUGAAUUCUGCCAAGUUUCAAUCAAGCAUUUUUGGUACUGUUGUUCCUGGCAAACCAUCUUCCUUACAGGAGGAAUUUAAGGAUGAGGAGAUGGUUGAUGUGAAGUCAUUACACAUCCGAAACUUUCUCUGAAGUUGAGUUUGUUGGUUAGUGCUUUGCUUUGCAUUUAACAAUUGUUAGGAUACUCAUAUCCAGCAAUUGUUUGAAGAAAAGAGAUUAUAACUGUUUAGGUAUUUGUUAAAAUAAAGGGAAAUACUGGAUUAAUGUUUUGGUCAUUUGUAUGUGUCCGGUCUAACUUAUCUUUAACUCCUUGAAUAUUGAUUGGUUGGUGAGCUCCAAUUACAGUGAGAUUUGAAAUUGCAGUUGAAGUGUUGCCUCUUUUGUUUUCAAUGGCCAACUUUUGUUUUAAGCUUCUGCGAUAUUACAUAAGGAUUUUGAAGCUAUCUUCUUUGAUUGAAAUUCAUUGAUUACCUAGGGACCUGUCUUAAAAAGAGAUGUAAUCCUAGAUGUAAUUUUAAUAUUAUUUACACUGUGCCUUUAGGCACGGACAUACGCUAGUAUAUAUAUAUAUAUUAAAAAAAAAAACCUAAGAUUGGCUAUAUUUGAACUUGUCUCUCCAAUCUUACUAUUGGUGUUAUUAUUCGGCCAAUGUCGUCAAAGUCAGGAGUUCUCAGAAAUGGGAUAUUCACAUUAGAGAGAGAGAGAGAGAGAGAGCAUAAACUUCAGAUCUUCAAUCGCCAGAUUCUACACAGUGCGCAGCAAAACAAUAGUUGGUCCUUCUCAUCCUGUACUAGUGUGACGUGCUCGCGUAUUGGGACGCCUUUGGUGAUGUUGUAAAGGGAGGUUGUGGUAGAGCUCCAGCAGUCGGAGGUGUAAGAGUGAAUGACUGUCAACGACUUCAAUUCGUGGUUAUUUAGCGUCUGUUUGGAGGAGGACGACUUUGGUGAUGCUGUAAGGGGGAGGAACUGUUGACGGCAUGACAGAGGAGUGUUUACACGUGUGUUUGGAGAAGAAGAGGAGAUGUUGAGGUGAGACCCUCUGUAAACCCCAGUAUCCCUUUAAUAACUGUAUUCUUAGAUCAAGGGACAAAAGCAAGGGCAAAAUUGUCCUUUUGCCCUCAAAAUAAGAUUCGUGGUAACUAGAAGGAGCUAUCUUCUUUCAAAAUUAAGUACGGAAACUUAUUUAUUUAUUUAAAUAUAUAAAUAAAUAAAUUUUAAAACAGAAAAUGUUGUACGACUUUUCUUUACGUGGUGGAAAAGCAUUUGGAGAGUGAGAAAGUGGAAGAUAGUAGGUAGGGGUGAGCAGCGGAUAUACCAAUCCGCCAAAACUGAACGAACCGAACCGAUCUGCCGCAUUUUGGACGGAUGCGUGAUGACGAGCGGACGAAUGCGGAUUAAUUUUCUCCAAUCCGCCAAUUUAGUGGACGAAUGGCAGAUUUGAGGUUCCUUUGGCCGCA